GUGGGGAAUAUUGGACAAUGGGGGGAACCCUGAUCCAGCCAUGCCGCGUGUGUGAAGAAGGCCUUUUGGUUGUAAAGCACUUUAAUCGAGGAGGAGGCUACCGAGAUUAAUACUCUUGGAUAGUGGACGUUACUCGCAGAAUAAGCACCGGCUAACUCUGUGCCAGCAGCCGCGGUAAUACAGAGGGUGCAAGCGUUAAUCGGAUUUACUGGGCGUAAAGCGCGCGUAGGUGGCCAAUUAAGUCAAAUGUGAAAUCCCCGAGCUUAACUUGGGAAUUGCAUUCGAUACUGGUUGGCUAGAGUAUGGGAGAGGAUGGUAGAAUUCCAGGUGUAGCGGUGAAAUGCGUAGAGAUCUGGAGGAAUACCGAUGGCGAAGGCAGCCAUCUGGCCUAAUACUGACACUGAGGUGCGAAAGCAUGGGGAGCAAACAGGAUUAGAAACCCGGGUAGUCC
rnacentral:rRNA from 1 species